UCUACCAGGUGUGGACCCGGCCUUACAGAGUUCAUUCCGAGGCUGGGAUUUCAUGCAGAAAACUAGUUGCAAAAGCUGCUGAAGGGGCUGGGGGAGCACAAGGGAGAAG
ensembl:miRNA